AUUGAACGCUGGCGGCAGGCCUAACACAUGCAAGUCGAACGGUAGCACAGAGAGCUUGCUCUCGGGUGACGAGUGGCGGACGGGUGAGUAAUGUCUGGGAAACUGCCUGAUGGAGGGGGAUAACUACUGGAAACGGUAGCUAAUACCGCAUAACGUCGCAAGACCAAAGAGGGGGGGACCCUUCGGGCCUCUUGCCAUCAGAUGUGCCCAGAUGGGAUUAGCUAGG
rnacentral:rRNA from 1 species